AUUGAACGCUGGCGGCAGGCCUAACACAUGCAAGUCGAACGGUAACAGGAAGCAGCUUGCUGCUUUGCUGACGAGUGGCGGACGGGUGAGUAAUGUCUGGGAAACUGCCCGAUGGAGGGGGAUAACUACUGGAAACGGUAGCUAAUACCGCGUAACGUCGCAAGACCAAAGAGGGGGACCUUAGGGCCUCUUGCCAUCGGAUGUGCCCAGAUGGGAUUAGCUAGUAGGUGGGGUAACGGCUCACCUAGGCGACGAUCCCUAGCUGGUCUGAGAGGAUGACCAGCCACACUGGAACUGAGACACGGUCCAGACUCCUACGGGAGGCAGCAGUGGGGAAUAUUGCACAAAGGGCGCAAGCCUGAUGCAGCCAUGCCGCGCGUAUGAAGAAGGCCUUCGGGUUGUAAAGUACUUUCAGCGGGGAGGAAGGGAGUAAAGUUAAUACCUUUGCUCAUUGACGUUACCCGCAGAAGAAGCACCGGCUAACUCCGUG
rnacentral:rRNA from 1 species